GGGAUAUAGCUCAGUUGGUAGAGUGCUUGCCUUGCAUGCAUAAAUCUGUGGGUUCAAUCCCUAGCAUCCCA
rnacentral:tRNA from 1 species